rnacentral:rRNA from 1 species
AGUUCGGAUCGCAGGCUGCAACCCGCCUGCGUGAAGUCGGAAUCGCUAGUAAUCGCGGAUCAGCAUGCCGCGGUGAAUACGUUCCCGGGCCUUGUACACACCGCCCGUCACACCAUGAGAGUCGGGAACACCCGAAGUCCGUAGCCUAACAGCAAUGAGGGCGCGGCCGAAGGUGGGUUCGAUAAUUGGGGUGAAGUCGUAACAAGGUAUC